rnacentral:rRNA from 1 species
UACGUAGGGCGCAAGCGUUAUCCGGAAUUAUUGGGCGUAAAGAGCUCGUAGGCGGUUUGUCGCGUCUGCCGUGAAAGUCCGGGGCUCAACUCCGGAUCUGCGGUGGGUACGGGCAGACUAGAGGUAGGUAGGGGAGAAUGGAAUUCCCGGUGUAGCGGUGAAAUGCGCAGAUAUCGGGAGGAACACCGGUGCGAAGGCGGCUCUCUGGGACGGUACUGACGCUGAGACGCGAAAGCGU